AUGCUGCUGAGCCUCAAGAAAGAUGUGAGGUUUUAUGAAUUUCAGGAUCAUCCAUUCUUUCUCCUUGUCUUCCUGUCACUCACACCCCAUCUGCCCCUCAAGUCAGCUGCACCUGUGUUCCCUUCCCUUCCCUUCCCUUCCCUUCCCUUCCCUUCCCUUCCCUUCCCUUCCCUUCCCUUCCCUUCCCUUCCCUUCCCUUCCCUUCCCUUCCCUUCCCUUCCCUUCCCUUCCCUUCCCUUCCCUUCCCUUCCCUCUUCAGCCUGGAAGAUUCUGUUCUCACUAAUCUCUGACCUCCUGCCAUUGUUUGUGCCCUCAUUCAGGUAUCUCUGUCCUCUUUGGCCAGUCAACUCAUGCAUACUGAAACAUCCCAAGAUUUGCAAGCAGCUGUCACCAGGUGUUAACUGGAGAUAUGCCAGGGCCUUUCCAGGCACUGCGAAUAAUGGUUUAAUUGCUGGGUCUCUGUGUUUGUGCUUCAUCCACUACAAAGAAGAAAAUAAGAGGGAAUAUAAAUAUAGGAAUGGACAUGCUGGUUGUAGAUGGAGCUUCCUAGUAUGUUUGAAUGACUGCCAGCAACCUCUCUGUUACUUACAGCACACAUAUUUGUCUCCUGUUUGUGUUGCAUAUUUUCUCAACAAAUGAUUUUGUCUACAUGACAUAAAACAUUCUUUGUGUUGGAGGGAAUUACUAUGAGCUGUUCUUUCCUUUAAAUAGUAUGACAAUGAACAAUAAUAAUCCACAAAGAGAGAAAGUCCUUGAUAUGAAAAAUGUCAUCUUUCUAAAACCUAGAUACUGUUCUGUUGCUUCUGUCCAAGUUUUAUUGUAACAGCUGAGGUGCGGAAUGGGACAGAAGGCCAUUGAGAGCAGCAGCAUCCUAGUGUCUUUCCUAAUCUCUAUCAUGAUGCUGAUGGAGGAAACCCUCUUUAAGAACCAUUUUAGUCUUUCUUGCAUUUUGUUCUACAUUCUCAGGUAUAAAACCCAGAAAUCAACUUAAAGAAAUAGAGCUAACCUUUCAAUAGAGCAGUUGUGUAAUAGAGAGUGGCUUUCUCUCAACAAUUUCUCGACUGAUACUCUGGAGCCUUCUCAACGUCUCCUCAUCUUCCUCCUGCCAGAACUUCUCCCUGCUUACCCCUCUGAUAUUUUCUCUGAUGCUUCUCAGGCUGCAAGUAGUGGGACUUUAUUUUCACAUCUUGUCAACUUCAGAAAGAUUGGAAUUGCCUGGGUUACAGAUCAUGUGUGUGGAAAGAUGGUAAUUACACAGAAACUGUGUAGGCUCCCAGGUAACUAGUGGGUACAAGGCUUUUGUUACACUUAUCCCAUUCUAACAAGCCUGACAUAUUCUGUUGUAUCAUUUGAUUCUCUGGGUGAAUAUGGUCCCCUCAUUGCUAACGUGUUCACCCUAAUUACAGUUUUCUUAACACACGUGUUUUAAAGACCGUGUGGUUUUAUCUGUUGGCGUAGUAGGCUCAGUGAUUGUACUCCUGAUUUAUGUUGCACUACUGGAGACUACAGUAAGAAACAGAUAUGUGUAUGGGUCCAAGGAAGUGAUUAAGGUAGAAAGGCAAAAAAUUUCUCCUCUGCUGCUGUGCUCCAGUAGCUGAAGGCCCCCUGUAAGCAAAUAAUGCAAUCAUUUAACAAAUUUCAUUGGCAACUGAGGCAGACAGGCAGGGCACUGGCUUUAACUUCUGUAUUUGACUUUGCAAUUAGGCCGGAGGGAUUUAUUUUCAAUUUGCAAAAGCCAAUCUAAUUCAUCAGCACAAGAGGCUAUAGGGAGGAUGUUCAGGCGAUUAAAACUGAUCACUGUGAUCCAUUUUGGGCAGCAAAACAGUGCCAUAUUGUUAAUUCUGAUGCCAGUCAGCAAGGGGAAUUCCUGCAGCAUGGACUGGAGUUUGUUAUGGGCCAGCACUGCUCAUAACUUUGUGACAGCAGCAACCCCCUCCAACCCUCACUGACAGUGAGCGAGGAUGUGGUAUUUUGGGUCUAUGGUUCAAGGUACUGGGAGCCCUGCCACAUCUAUUUGUGGUGUGGGUGCAGCAGCUGGAGCUGAGUGGUCUCUGCAGGUCCUGCUGAAUCCCUCUGUCCCUCAGCAGGACUUACAAGCAUAGGAAUGGUGCCACAUGGAUGUACCCAGACAGCUCAGGUCUGGAUAUGUGCCCAGACUGGUAAACCCACUAGGAAAAUUUCUGCAGAGAGUUUAAACUUAGUAGGAUUACACCUUGUCAGAGCUUGUAGGAAAUCCCAUGACUGACUUGAUUUCUGGAUGCUUCUGCCUUGGGCUUCUUGGUGCACAAGGGAAUAUGAGGGUAGUGCAGACAGCAGCUCAAAAUCUGCUAAUGUCUGGUGCAGCUCAUUAGCCUGGGCCAGGUGCCAGCUCAGCUCCAUCCAAGCUCUGCAAACAGCUCCUGCAAACAGUAUGGUCCUGCUAGUGUGACACUGUAUAUGAAUGAACAAAGCCCACCAGACCCAGAUCCAUGCUGUUUGAGCCUGAGACUUGUUUGGACCACUCUAUGUUGCUGUCAGAACAACUGUAGAUUGAGUUGUCUAUCCCUGCAUUUAUUCAUUAUGCGGCACUGGACUAGAAGGAAGCUAGUAUAGAAACUACUACUCUCAACAAUGAAAGCGCUAUGAAGUGUUGUGCUGGGAGGUAUUUGUGACAGCAAAUAAAUUUGAUGGAAAAAUGUUAAAGGUAUUUUCA
rnacentral:lncRNA from 1 species